rnacentral:rRNA from 1 species
AUGAACGCUGGCGGCGUGCCUAAUCCAUGCACGUCGAGCGAACGGACGAGAAGCUUGCUUUUCUGAUGUUAGCGGCGGACGGGUGAGUAACACGUGGAUAACCUACCUAUAAGACUGGGAUAACUUCGGGAAACCGGAGCUAAUACCGGAUAAUAUUUUGAACCGCAUGGUUCAAAAGUGAAAGACGGUCUUGCUGUCACUUAUAGAUGGAUCCGCGCUGCAUUAGCUAGUUGGUAAGGUAACGGCUUACCAAGGCAACGAUGCAUAGCCGACCUGAGAGGGUGAUCGGCCACACUGGAACUGAGACACGGUCCAGACUCCUACGGGAGGCAGCAGUAGGGAAUCUUCCGCAAUGGGCGAAAGCCUGACGGAGCAACGCCGCGUGAGUGAUGAAGGUCUUCGGAUCGUAAAACUCUGUUAUUAGGGAAGAACAUAUGUGUAAGUAACUGUGCACAUCUUGACGGUACCUAAUCAGAAAGCCACGGCUAACUACGUG